ACGGGAGGCAGCAGUGAGGAAUAUUGGUCAAUGGGCGGAAGCCUGAACCAGCCAAGUCGCGUGAAGGAUGAAGGUAUUAUGUAUUGUAAACUUCUUUAGCAGCAGAGUAAUAAGGUCCUCGAGAGGGCUGAUGCAAGUAUGCUGAAAAUAAGGAUCGGCUAACUCCGUGCCAGCAGCCGCGGUAAUACGGAGGAUCCGAGCGUUAUCCGGAUUUAUUGGGUUUAAAGGGUGCGCAGGCGGCUUUUUAAGUCAGCGGUAAAAUCGUGGGGCUCAACCCCAUCCUGCCGUUGAUACUGGAGAGCUUGAUUGCGGUCGAGGUUGGCGGAAUUCGUCGUGUAGCGGUGAAAUGCAUAGAUAUGACGAAGAACACCGAUUGCGUAGGCAGCUGACCAGGCCGUAAAUGACGCUCAUGCACGAAAGUGCGGGGAUCGAACAGGAUUAGAUACCCUGGUA
rnacentral:rRNA from 1 species